AGAGUUUGAUCCUGGCUCAGAACGAACGCUGGCGGCGCGUCUUAAACAUGCAAGUCGAACGGUAAGGAAGGAGCUUGCUCCUUUCUGAGAGUGGCGGACUGGUGAGUAACACGUGGGUGACAUACCUUUUAGAUGGGGAUAGCUAUUAGAAAUAGUAGGUAAUACCGAAUGUGACCGUAUCUGUUAGAGGGAUACGAGGAAAGGAGCUAAGGCUUCGCUAAAAGAAUGGCCCGCGGCCCAUUAUGCUUGUUGGUGAGGUAACGGCCCACCAAGGCGAUGAUGGGUAUCCGGCCUGAGAGGGUGGACGGACACAUUGGGACUGAGAUACGGCCCAGACUUCUACGGGAGGCAGCAGUUAAGAAUAUUCCGCAAUGGACGAAAGUCUGACGGAGCGACGCCGCGUGGAUGAAGAAUGCCGAAAGGUUGUAAAAUCCUUUUAAGCCUGAUGAAUAAGCACAGUAGGGAAUGAUUGUGCGGUGACCGUAGGGCUUGAAUAAGCACCGGCUAAUUACGUGCCAGCAGCCGCGGUAACACGUAAGGUGCGAGCGUUGUUCGGAAUUAUUGGGCGUAAAGGGCAUGUAGGCGGAUGAGCAAGCUUGGUGUGAAAUGCUACAGCUUAACUGUGGGACAGCAUUGAGAACUGCACAUCUUGAAUUACUGAAGGGUAACUAGAAUUCCACGUGUAGGGGUGAAAUCUGUAGAUAUGUGGAAGAAUACCAAUGGCGAAGGCAAGUUACCGGCAGAUAAUUGACGCUGAGGUGCGAAAGUGCGGGGAGCGAACAGGAUUAGAUACCCUGGUAGUCCGCACCGUAAACGAUGUACACUAGGUGUCUGGUAUAACAGCUGGGUGCCAAAGCAAACGUGAUAAGUGUACCGCCUGGGGAGUAUGCCCGCAAGGGUGAAACUCAAAGGAAUUGA
rnacentral:rRNA from 1 species